ensembl:lncRNA
CACCAGCCAGAUUCAUCCCCAUCUCCAGUGACACGCGAGGACAGUGGAAGUGCUGCUGGAGAUGAAAGACACAAGUCUUCUGAACCACAGCAGCCAGAAUCGUCCCCAUAUACAGUGACAUCCGAGGACAGUGGAAGUGCUGCUGGAGAUGAAAGACACGAGUCUUCUGAACCUCAGCAGCCAGAAUCGUCCCCAUAUACAGUGCCAUCCGAGGACAGUGGAAGUGCUGCUGGAGAUGAAAGACGCAAGUCUUCUGAACCACAGCAGCCAGAAUCGUCCCCAUAUACAGUGCCAUCCGAGGACAGUGGAAGUGCUGCUGGGGAUGAAAGAUGUGAGUCUCCAGGCCAAUGCAACAAUCCACUACCACCUGGCAAUGCAUGUCUUUGGUGCCCUCAAAACUGCAAGCACUUUAAAAGAACUGGAUGACAUGGUUCAAAGUGCUACAGUUGUCUUCUCCAGUCCAUGCUGUGGUGCAAGUGUUGAGAAGCACUUCAAGAACCUGCAAUCGUGGCUGCAGAAAAAAGGGACUCCUUUGGAUGAGACUACCAAGUCUAGGGGGGGUGCAGAGGACUUGAAGGAUAUUACAGGAAGCAACAGAUUUGCAAAACGUUGCAAUGCAAUUAUUUCUAAUGCCCCACUUGACAAGCAUGGAGAGGUCAAUAUGUACCAAUGCAAAGGGCUUAUUGAUCACCUCAAGAAAUACGUUCUGCCAUUUGCUGGAUUAUGGACCGGGAUAAUGUUAGGUGACCUUGGACGACAUGAGACAGGACCACAAUAUAAGCAGUGCUCCAGGAGAUACAAUGCCCUGAGAAAGCUUACAAGACAAAACAUUACACAGGACAACAAAACUCUAGGAGUAAUAGAAAAGAGCCAGUGGGACUUGAAACAUAUUCGUUUUACUUCUGGCCGGCUCACCAGGCUUGAUAACUUUGUAGCCCAGUAUCGGAUUAGCCACACUGUACUCCUGAAGGAGUAUGAGGACUCUGAAAGAGUUUUCUGA